rnacentral:rRNA from 1 species
CCGCACGGGUGAGUAACACGUAUCCAACCUGCCGUCUACUCUUGGACAGCCUUCUGAAAGGAAGAUUAAUACAAAAUGGCAUCAUGAGUCCGCAUGUUCACAUGAUUAAAGGUAUUCCGGUAGACGAUGGGGAUGCGUUCCAUUAGAUAGUAGGCGGGGUAACGGCCCACCUAGUCUUCGAUGGAUAGGGGUUCUGAGAGGAAGGUCCCCCACAUUGGAACUGAGACACGGUCCAA